UACGGAGGGUGCAAGCGUUAUCCGGAUUUACUGGGUUUUAAAGGGUGCGCAGGCGGAUAUGUAAGUCAGUGGUGAAAUCUCUAGGCUUAACCUGGAAAUUGCCGUUGAUACUAUAUAUCUUGAAUGUUGUGGAGGUAAGCAGAAUAUGUCAUGUAGCGGUGAAAUGCUUAGAUAUGACAUAGAAUACCUAUUGCGAAGGCAGCUUACUACGCAGAUAUUGACGCUCAUGCACGAAAGCGUGGGGAUCAAACAGG
rnacentral:rRNA from 1 species